rnacentral:rRNA from 1 species
UACGGAGGGUGCAAGCGUUAAUCGGAAUUACUGGGCGUAAAGCGCACGCAGGUGGCUGAGUCAGUCGAUUGUGAAAGCCCUGGGCUUAACCUGGGAAUUGCAGUCGAUACUACUCAGCUAGAGUAUGGGAGAGGGUAGUGGAAUUCCCGGUGUAGCGGUGAAAUGCGUAGAUAUCGGGAGGAACAUCAGUGGCGAAGGCGGCUACCUGGCCCAAUACUGACACUCAGGUGCGACAGCGUGGGGAGCAACAG